AACGAACGCUGGCGGCAGGUCUAACACAUGCAAGUCGAGCGAGGACUUCGGUCCUAGCGGCGGACGGGUGAGUAACGCGUGGGAACGUGCCCUUUGCUUCGGAAUAGCCCUGGGAAACUGGGAGUAAUACCGGAUGAGCCCUUUGGGGGAAAGAUUUAUCGGCGAAGGAUCGGCCCGCGUUGGAUUAGGUAGUUGGUGGGGUAAUGGCCUACCAAGCCGACGAUCCAUAGCUGGUUUGAGAGGAUGAUCAGCCACACUGGGACUGAGACACGGCCCAGACUCCUACGGGAAGCAGCAGUGGGGAAUCUUAGACAAUGGGGGAAACCCUGAUCUAGCCAUGCCGCGUGAGCGAUGAAGGCCUUAGGGUUGUAAAGCUCUUUCAGCUGGGAAGAUAAUGACGGUACCAGCAGAAGAAGCCCCGGCUAACUCCGUG
rnacentral:rRNA from 1 species